rnacentral:rRNA from 1 species
GAUGAACGCUGGCGGCGUGCCUAAUACAUGCAAGUCGAGCGAACGGACGAGAAGCUUGCUUUUCUGAUGUUAGCGGCGGACGGGUGAGUAACACGUGGAUAACCUACCUAUAAGACUGGGAUAACUUCGGGAAACCGGAGCUAAUACCGGAUAAUAUUUUGAACCGCAUGGUUCAAAAGUGAAAGACGGUCUUGCUGUCACUUAUAGAUGGAUCCGCGCUGCAUUAGCUAGUUGGUAAGGUAACGGCUUACCAAGGCAACGAUGCAUAGCCGACCUGAGAGGGUGAUCGGCCUCACUGGAACUGAGACACGGUCCAGACUCCUACGGGAGGCAGCAGUAGGGAAUCUUCCGCAAUGGGCGAAAGCCUGACGGAGCAACGCCGCGUGAGUGAUGAAGGUCUUCGGAUCGUAAAACUCUGUUAUUAGGGAAGAACAUAUGUGUAAGUAACUGUGCACAUCUUGACGGUACCUAAUCAGAAAGCCACGGCUAACUACGUG